ensembl:lncRNA
GUAUAGUACGGUGGCUGGGAAGUGAAAAUCACAUUUACAACAUCAACAACAAAAUAACAUUUCAGAAAACACUUUUAAAUGGCCUGUAUUUGUAUAGCGCUUUACUAGUCCCUAAGGACCCCAAAGCGCUUUACACAUUCAGUCAUCCACCCAUUCACACACACAUCCACACACUGGUGAUGGCAAGCUACAUUGUAGCCACAGCCGCCCUGGGGCACACUGACAGAGGCGAGGCUGCCGGACACUGGCGCCACCGGGCCCUCUGACCACCACCAGUAGGGCCAACACGUUCUCACUCCCAACUCGUCAAAUGUGUGACGCAUGGUCAGGUUCCCUCUGCUUCACUUAUCGACGCGCAGGGUACCGCCCUCGCGUCGAGAAUUGACGUGCAGGGUCCUCCUAUUGAAUACUAUAGAGCUCCCUAAACGUUGUUUAUUGACGACAAGAGAUUGCCGCGGAAGAGCCUGUUAUGGAGGAUCAGUAACAGGAACGUGGGAAGACUCCAGGAUCCACUCUGGCUGGAAUCCGGUGGAUACAGCAGUGUUACAGAACAGUUCUCCACAGUCACUGUCCACAUGGGUCAGUGGGACCAAGAAGCACUCUGCUAAUGUGAGACUCUGACCAGCAACAUCCAGCAAGACCCAGGCAGUGUUUUCUAUCUCCCAGCUGGAGUUUUUUUGUUUGUCUGUGACUGGAGAGUCAGAUUUUUGUUGAGGCUGGAGGAACAGCCUCACACUUGCAGAGGUUAAUACACGCUACUGAUCCCUGAUGGGAGAAUCAUCACCUCUGCCAACAAAGAAGCCUGGUGGAUGUUUGUUUACAGUCUGAUGAUGGGACAUCAUGCUCUGCAUCUUCAAAGUUUGUCUCUUGAUUAUUAUUCAUACACAGUAAUGUGAAGCAUGCUCAUAUCUAGUAUAACUGGACCAACCUGGUGCUCUUCAUUUAUGGAGGCUGUUGAGUCUGAAUGUUGGAUGUUGUGUAUCUCGUGUUCUCUGGGCUUUGUUGUCCUCAGUCUUUUUGCAGGAUCAGAAAACAAAACCAGGAGGCCUGUAAAUGUUUCUUCUCCAAUUGGAUGAUGAUAAGACUGUGACACGGGAUGCCACCUUUAGUCUUGUGAUGAAGCAAAGCUCAGGAAGAAGUGUGAUUAAAUGGUACCCACAUGUGUGCUGCUGAGAAGGAUGUACAGGGGCACCUGCAGCCAAAUCCAAGCCUCCUCAGGUUAGUUGUAGUUGCAGAAUGCUUUAGGACUGAGACAGCUGAGGCAUCAAAUGUUUGAUUAAAGCGAUGAAAAAGAGAAGUUUCUUCCCUAUAACUGUCACUUUUUAAAAUCUUUAGCAACUUCAAGUCUGUCAGCGUGCUGAGGUCACAGAAACAAGAAAAGCAGCUUCAGACUUCAGAGUGUUGUUUACAGUUUUCUGUCAUCAUGAUCUCCCCUGAAGUUUAUCACUAUUAUACAAGCAAUGGUGACGGUGUGGAGAGACGGUGGUGUUUCCUCAGAAGAACCAGCAGAGUCACAAAGGGCACGAGUCCAUCUCACCACCUUGACUUACUGACAGAUGUUCGUCUGCACUGCACAGAGGAAAUCAACUAACCGAGGAGUGUUUCUGAGUGAGGGAGAGAGGAGUCAUCAUCCAGGUAAAGUGACAUGGAUCAGUGGAUACACUUGUCUCCCCUUUAAAGGAGACGAUCCGAGUCAUCCUUAAAUAUGGGCAGGAUAUCAGUCUUGGACUGUCUAACCUGCCGGAGCAGCACUGAAUGAUCACCACACAUGAGCAUGUUCCUGCAACAUUCAGCAUCUGAUCUGCCAUCUGUGUGCUUCUGCUUUUGAUAAGUAGAGCUAUCUAACUACAGUAACUCUAAACACAUGCCAUCCAUUUCUAACGGCCUGGUUACUUCCUGUCAGUUAUUUUAGAAACCAUGUGGUCACCUGACCUAACACUGUUUCUUCUUCUUCCCCUUAAUGUUGAAGUGUCAAAUGUCAACCAGCUGGAGAGGAAACUACACCAGUGUACUGGGAUGUUUCAGCAACACGUGCCAGAUGCUGUUCCUUCAUGGUUUCAUCACCAGAGACAGCCCCGCCCACCUCAGGACCUCGCCAUUGAUCAUGAUGAUUAUAAUAAUGACAGCGAGCGGAACUAAGACUGUAAAAAUCCACGACCAGAAUGUUUAGAUGCUUUCUAAUUAUUAAUGAAUACUGAGAGCCUCUUUCUGUGUUUUGUCUGUUUUGUUUUGGUUUUUUUACCUCAUUUGUUACUAACAAAGUUCACCAAACUCACACAGUUUACAUUCUGUAUGUUUCCAUCUUUACCAGCCACACUCUUAACUGCAAUUAAGCAAAUAAUCCUUAGAAAUCGUCGUUUUUCUCUUUUGUAAUUGAUGAUAAUUCAGUGAAUAUACUGCGCUGCUUCCUUUUAUUGCGUCACACAUUGCUUUAAGUUUUUCAGUGUCCAGUUAUUUUUUUACUGCUGUUUGAAUUCUCUGUAUGUUUGACCCUGUAGACUGUUUAAUGGACUGCUUGUCUUCCUGUUUGUAACCACUGCCUGUUUUUGACUAAAGAUUUGGAUUUCUGACUUUAACACAGCCUCUGCGUGUCCUCCCUUUGUGUCCUCUUCCUCUGUGAAUGUGUUGCAUGUGUCACAGAUUCAUUUUAUUAACAGCUUUCCCACAGUCAGUUGCAUCAGCAUUCAUUCACAGCACAUUUCAGAAGGAU